rnacentral:rRNA from 1 species
CCUACGGGUGGCAGCAGUGGGGAAUAUUGCACAAUGGGCGAAAGCCUGAUGCAGCAACGCCGCGUGAAGGAAGAAGGGUUUCGGCUCGUAAACUUCUAUCAACAGGGACGAAAGAAAUGACGGUACCUGAAUAAGAAGCCCCGGCUAACUACGUGCCAGCAGCCGCGGUAAUACGUAGGGGGCGAGCGUUAUCCGGAAUUACUGGGUGUAAAGGGAGCGUAGACGGCGAGGUAAGCCUGAAGUGGAAGCCCGCGGCCCAACCGCGGAACUGCUUUGGGAACUGUUUUGCUGGAGUAUGGGAGGGGUAAGCGGAAUUCCUGGUGUAGCGGUGAAAUGCGUAGAUAUCAGGAGGAACACCGGUGGCGAAGGCGGCUUACUGGACCAUAACUGACGUUGAGGCUCGAAAGCGUGGGGAGCGAACAGGAUUAGAUACCCCAGUAGUC